CAAAAUAUAGUUUAAAUAAAAUUAUUUAUUUACAUUAGAUGGAUAUUUCAUAUUAUUUUGA
rnacentral:tRNA from 1 species